UACGUAGGGUGCGAGCGUUGUCCGGAAUUACUGGGCGUAAAGAGCUCGUAGGCGGCUCGUCGCGUCGACCGUGAAAACCCGCAGCUCAACUGUGGGCUUGCAGCUGAUACGGGCAGGCUUGAGUUCGGUAGGGGAGACUGGAAUUCCUGGUGUAGCGGUGAAAUGCGCAGAUAUCUGGAGGAAUACCGGUGGCGAAGGCGGCAUCCUGGACCGGCAUUGACGCUGAGGAGCGAAAGCUAGGGGAGCAAACGGGG
rnacentral:rRNA from 1 species